AACGCACAUUGCGCCCCCUGGCAUUCCGGGGGGCAUGCCCGUUCGAGCGUCAUUAAACCCAAUCAAGCCCGGCUUGGUAUUGGGCGACGGGUCUCUCCCGCGCCCCAAUUUCACCGGCUGGCCGUCGCCUGUCUUUAGCGUUGUGACAUACUUCUCGCUGAUGGUAGGGACGGUUCACGCCGUUAGAAUGCAGCGAAUUUCAAUCGAAGUUCGAUCAAGGUUGACCUCGGAUCGGGUAGGAAUACCCGCUGAACUUAA
rnacentral:misc_RNA from 2 species